AAAACGACUCUCGGCAACGGAUAUCUCGGCUCUCGCAUCGAUGAAGAACGCAGCGAAAUGCGAUACUUGGUGUGAAUUGCAGGAUCCCGCGAACCAUCGAGUCUUUGAACGCAAGUUGCGCCCUAAGCCUUUUGGCCGAGGGCACGUCUGCCUGGGUGUCAUUC
rnacentral:rRNA from 1 species